CACCCACACCGACCCCUGCUCCAACUCCAGCACCGACCCUUGCACCGACACAUGCACCGACGCCCGUCCCAACCCCUGCUCCAACUCCAGCGCCGACACCUGCACCGACCCCUACACCGACUCCUGCUCUGACGCCUGCUCCAACGCCUGCACCCACACCAGUACCGACUCCUGCCCCGACGCGUGCUCCAACACCUGCACCCACACCCGCACCGACCCCUGUGCCGACUCCAGCCACUACCCCUGCACCGACCCCUGCUCCAACUCCAGCCCCAACACCCGCACCAAACCCUACACCGACUCCUACUCCGACGCCCACGCCGACCCCUACACCGACACCAACACCCACACCGACCCCUGCUCCAACUCCAGCACCGACCCUUGCACCGACACAUGCACCGACGCCCGUCCCAACCCCUGCUCCAACUCCAGCGCCGACACCUGCACCGACCCCUACACCGACUCCCGCUCCGACGCCCGCGCCAACACCUGCACCGACACCUACACCAACGCCUGCCCCGGCACCAUCCCAAAACCCAUGCCCUUCCGGCUUUCCUAACUCGGUCUCAUUUCUUCAAGGCGUCAAAGAUUAUCUUCUUCGCGGCAUCUUUCUCAUCUUGUCCCCUGUCAAGGUCACCCCAGGCACCAGC
rnacentral:lncRNA from 1 species